GUUUGCUGGAAGUAAAAUCGUAGACCAGACCAAGCAUAAGCUUUCUUCUUAGUUUACAGUGUGUGAGGGGAUGCGCAAUUGGAGCAGCAUUUCAUAACAUCACCAAGCUUUAGGCUUCAGCUUGACCACUAAAGCUGACAGCUUGGUGCAAACUGGAGGAUGGUGAACCUGAGCAGGCUGAACAUCUGUCUUGGACAUCUUUACAUACCCCACAUACCAAAGGCCAGUCUGGACUUAGGCUAGAAUUCUGUGCUGUUCGAUGGGGCUGCAAUAUGGCCGCCACAGGGGCUUUGUGAACUCAUCAUCUCGAAGACCUCCCAAGAAAUAUAGCCCUUCCGUUUUUGUUUCGCACCACUCUAUACACCCCCCCAAGCAGUAUAUUGCCUAGUCCCUUGAACUAGUGGAUCCUGUUGCUGUUCCAAGAUGAUAUCAUUGAUUUAUCUUCCUCUGGGGAGAGAGAGAAAGACUAGAGGGGGAGGUGGUGGGCUGGUAAGAUGGUGUUUCCCCUCCUCAUUGUGUGGAGGAUGCCUGAUAAAGAAGAUGUAUUAGUGGAGGUAGCUCACGGGUGUCUGUCUGGCUGGAUCCAUCAGACCAAGUGAGGACCAUCAGGCACAACUAUACACCCAGUAUAUCCUGGAACAUUCCAGAACACUGGAUAUCUCACUCUACUCUCCAGGCGAGGCUAUCGUUCACCUUGACACUUCCUCUUUCUGCGCAUCUAUCCUCCCACUCAACUUCUCCUCCCUUACAUUAAAACAACACCAUUGAAGAGGAAGUGGGUUGUGUGCUGUGAGCAGAAACCUUUUUUUUGUCUAGAACAUGAAAACCACUGCUCAAUAGGCUGGUGUUUCUCUAACCAGUCUGAGUGACCCUUCAUACCUUGGUUAUGCAUAUUUAAGGUGCAGUCAGCGUUUGUAUGCUAUUUCAAGCCCAUACAAUUUUUUGUCACAUUCAUCUCCUUACGGUUCGCUAGCUGUCCAUUCUUUGAGUACACUGUACCCGGUCUCUGUAGGCAGCCCAGCCCCCCCCCCCCCC